GAGUUUGAUCUUGGCUCAGAUUGAACGCUGGCGGCAUGCCUUACACAUGCAAGUCGAACGGUAACGCGGGGCAACCUGGCGACGAGUGGCGAACGGGUGAGUAAUGCAUCGGAACGUGCCUGGUAGUGGGGGAUAACUGCUCGAAAGAGCAGCUAAUACCGCAUACGACCUGAGGGUGAAAGGGGGGAUCGGCAAGACCUCUCGCUAUCAGAGCGGCCGAUGUCGGAUUAGCUAGUUGGUGGGGUAAAGGCCCACCAAGGCAACGAUCCGUAGCUGGUCUGAGAGGACGACCAGCCACACUGGGACUGAGACACGGCCCAGACUCCUACGGGAGGCAGCAGUGGGGAAUUUUGGACAAUGGACGCAAGUCUGAUCCAGCCAUGCCGCGUGCGGGAAGAAGGCCUUCGGUUGUAA
rnacentral:rRNA from 2 species